rnacentral:rRNA from 1 species
GACGAACGCUGGCGGCGUGCCUAAUACAUGCAAGUUGAGCGCUGAAGGUUGGUACUUGUACCCACUGGAUGAGCAGCGAACGGGUGAGUAACGCGUGGGGAAUCUGCCUUUGAGCGGGGGACAACAUUUGGAAACGAAUGCUAAUACCGCAUAAAAACUUUAAACACAAGUUUUAAGUUUGAAAGAUGCAAUUGCAUCACUCAAAGAUGAUCCCGCGUUGUAUUAGCUAGUUGGUGAGGUAAAGGCUCACCAAGGCGAUGAUACAUAGCCGUCCUGAGAGGGUGAUCGGCCACAUUGGGACUGAGACACGGCCCAAACUCCUACGGGAGGCAGCAGUAGGGAAUCUUCGGCAAUGGACGAAAGUCUGACCGAGCAACGCCGCGUGAGUGAAGAAGGUUUUCGGAUCGUAAAACUCUGUUGGUAGAGAAGAACGUUGGUGAGAGUGGAAAGCUCAUCAAGUGACGGUAACUACCCAGAAAGGGACGGCUAACUACGUG